rnacentral:rRNA from 1 species
UACAGAGGGUGCAAGCGUUAAUCGGAUUUACUGGGCGUAAAGGGUGCGUAGGCGGAUAAUUAAGUUAGUUGUGAAAGACCUGGGCUAAACCGAGGAACUGCAAUUAAAACUGGUUAUCUAGAGUGUGGUAGAGGGAAGUGGAAUUUCUAGUGUAGCGGUGAAAUGCGUAGAUAUUAGAAAGAACAUCGAUGGCGAAGGCAGCUUCCUGGACUAACACUGACGCUGAGGCACGAAAGCAUGGGUAGCGAACAGG